rnacentral:sRNA from 1 species
AAGUAACCGCUGCCUUGACCAUCAGGCUCAGAGUUGUUAGGGGUAAACAGUUUCAGAAAGUGCUUUCUCUCUGUGGACAUGAGGAUUGGAUUAGAGGAGUGGAAUGGGCAGCCUUUGGUAGAGAUCUUUUCCUAGCAAGCUGUUCACAAGAUUGCCUGAUAAGAAUAUGGAAGCUGUAUAUAAAGUCAACAUCUUUAGAAACUCAGGAUGACGAUAACAUAAGACUGAAAGAAAAUACUUUUACCAUAGAAAAUGAAAGUGUUAAAAUAGCAUUUGCUGUUACUCUGGAGACAGUGCUAGCCGGUCAUGAAAACUGGGUAAAUGCAGUUCACUGGCAACCUGUGUUUUACAAAGAUGGUGUUCUACAGCAGCCAAUGAGAUUAUUAUCUGCUUCCAUGGAUAAAACCAUGAUUCUCUGGGCUCCAGAUGAAGAGUCAGGAGUUUGGCUAGAAGAGGUUCGAGUAGGUGAAGUAGGUGGGAAUACUUUGGGAUUUUAUGAUUGCCAGUUCAAUGAAGAUGGCUCCAUGAUCAUUGCUCAUGCUUUCCACGGAGCGUUGCACCUUUGGAAACAGAAUACAGUUA